rnacentral:rRNA from 1 species
AUUGAACGCUAGCGGGAUGCUUUACACAUGCAAGUCGAACGGCAGCGCGGACUUCGGUCUGGCGGCGAGUGGCGAACGGGUGAGUAAUGUAUCGGAACGUGCCCAGUAGCGGGGGAUAACUACGCGAAAGCGUAGCUAAUACCGCAUACGCCCUACGGGGGAAAGCAGGGGAUCGUAAGACCUUGCACUAUUGGAGCGGCCGAUAUCGGAUUAGCUAGUUGGUGAGGUAACGGCUCACCAAGGCGACGAUCCGUAGCUGGUUUGAGAGGACGACCAGCCACACUGGGACUGAGACACGGCCCAGACUCCUACGGGAGGCAGCAGUGGGGAAUUUUGGACAAUGGGGGCAACCCUGAUCCAGCCAUCCCGCGUGUGCGAUGAAGGCCUUCGGGUUGUAAAGCACUUUUGGCAGGAAAGAAACGUCGCGGGCUAAUACCCCGUGGAACUGACGGUACCUGCAGAAUAAGCACCGGCUAACUACGCG